rnacentral:rRNA from 1 species
UACGGGGGGGGCAAGCGUUGUUCGGAAUUACUGGGCGUAAAGGGCUCGUAGGCGGCCAACUAAGUCGGACGUGAAAUCCCCAGGCUCAACCUGGGAACUGCGUCCGAUACUGGAUGGCUUGAAUUCGGGAGAGGGAUGCAGAAUUCCAGGUGUAGCGGUGAAAUGCGCAGAUAUCAGGAGGAACACCGAUGGCGAAGGCAGGUCUCUGGGCCGAUACUGACGCUGAGGAGCGAAAGCGUGGGGAGCGAACAGG